rnacentral:miRNA from 1 species
ACCUGAGACAUUACCUGGUUAUAACCAGGUUAUAACCUGGUUAUAUCCUGAGACAUCACCUUGUUAUAACCUGGUAAUAACCAGGUUAUAACCUGGAUAUUACC